UACGUAGGUGGCAAGCGUUGUCCGGAUUUACUGGGCGUAAAGGAUGCGUAGGCGGAUAUUUAAGUCAGAUGUGAAAUUCCCGGGCUCAACCUGGGGGCUGCGCUUGAUACUGAUUGGCUUGAAUGCGGGAGAGGAUAGUGGAAUUCCCAGUGUAGAGGUGAAAUUCGUAGAUAUUGGGAAGAACACCGGUGGCGAAGGCGGCUAUCUGGCCCGUAAUUGACGCUGAGGCGCGAAAGCGUGGGGAGCAAACAGG
rnacentral:rRNA from 1 species